CCUACGGGGGGCAGCAGUGAGGAAUAUUGGUCAAUGGCCGAGAGGCUGAACAAGCCAAGUCGCGUGAGGGAAGACGGCCCUACGGGUUGUAAACCUCUUUUGUCGGGGAGCAAAGCGAGUCACGGGUGACUCGUUGAGAGUAACCGAAGAAAAAGCAUCGGCUAACUCCGUGCCAGCAGCCGCGGUAAUACGGAGGAUGCGAGCGUUAUCCGGAUUUCUUGGGUUUAAAGGGUGCGCAGGCGGAGGUGCAAGUCCGCGGUCAAAUUGCGGGGCUCAACCCCGUACUGCCGUUGAAACUGCAUCCCUUGAGUGCGCGAGAAGUAUGCGGAAUGCGUGGUGUAGCGGUGAAAUGCAUAGAUAUCACGCAGAACUCCGAUUGCGAAGGCAGCAUACCGGCGCGCAACUGACGCUCAUGCACGAAAGCGUGGGUAUCGAACAGGAUUAGAUACCCUGGUAGUC
rnacentral:rRNA from 1 species